ACGCUCGACACCUACGGAGGCAGCAGUGGGGAAUAUUGGGCAAUGGGCGCAAGCCUGACCCAGCAACGCCGCGUGAAGGAAGAAGGCUUUCGGGUUGUAAACUUCUUUUGUCAGGGAACAGUAGAAGAGGGUACCUGACGAAUAAGCCACGGCUAACUACGUACCAGCAGCCGCGGUAAUCUGAGCGGGCUGGCAAGGC
rnacentral:rRNA from 1 species